rnacentral:misc_RNA from 1 species
AAGUCGUAACAAGGUCUCCGUAGGUGAACCUGCGGAGGGAUCAUUAACACGAAAUUCUAUCGUAAGAUAGAACGUUAUACCCUAUCAACCAACCCCGUGCACUCGAAUUCUUCAUUGAAUUCAUAUCUCCCUAAUCAUGACGUUAACAAAGGUUUAUAUAAUCGACUAUAAUUUAUAUAUACUAGUAUUAUGUGAUAGUAUCAGCAAUGAUACGUACUAGUAACAAUAAAUUGAUUAUAUAGACUUCGAAUUGAUUAGGACUAACUAUUUCAUAUCACGAAAUAAACAUAACAACCCAUUUCACCCUAACCAUAUAACCAUAGCCUGAUUUUAUUAACUAUAUGAAAAUAUAGGAAAUAACAACUCGAUAUCAUCGAAAACUAAAAGCACAACUCUUAGCAACGGAUAUCUUGGUUCUC